AACGAACGCUGGCGGCAUGCCUAACACAUGCAAGUCGAACGAGACCUUCGGGUCUAGUGGCGCACGGGUGCGUAACGCGUGGUAACCUGCCCUUAGGUUCGGAAUAACUCCCCGAAAGGGGUGCUAAUACCGGAUAAUGUCUUCGGACCAAAGAUUUUUCGCCUUUGGAUGGGCCCGCGUUGGAUUCGCUAGUUGGUAGGGUAAAAGCCUACCAAGGCGACGAUCCAUAGCUGGUCUGAGAGGAUGAUCAGCCAGACUUGGAAUGAGACCCGGACCAGACUCGUACGGGAGGCAGCAGUGGGGAAUAUUGGACGAUGGGCGAAAGCCUGAUACAGCAAUGCCGGGUGAGUGAUGAAGGCCUUAGGGUUGUAAAGCUCUUUUACCCGGGAUGAUAAUGACAGUACCGGGAGAAUAAGCUCCGGCUAACUCCGUG
rnacentral:rRNA from 1 species